GGGCCCGCACAAGCGGUGGAGCAUGUGGUUUAAUUCGAUGAUACGCGAGGAACCUUACCAGGGUUUAAAUGCAGAACGACAGGGGUGGAAACACCCCCUUCUUCGGACGGACUGCAAGGUGCUGCAUGGUUGUCGUCAGCUCGUGCUGUGAAGUGUCGGGUUAAGUCCCAUAACGAGCGCAACCCCCAUUUCUAGUUGCCAGCGGUUCGGCCGGGGACUCUAGAGAAACUGCCGGUGAUAAGCCGGAGGAAGGUGGGGAUGACGUCAAGUCCUCAUGGCCCUUACAGGCUGGGCUACACACGUGCUACAAUGGCGAUGACAGUGGGCAGCGACCCCGCAAGGGUGAGCU
rnacentral:rRNA from 1 species